UUAAGCGACUAAGCGUACACGGUGGAUGCCCUGGCAGUCAGAGGCGAUGAAGGACGUGCUAAUCUGCGAUAAGCGUCGGUAAGGUGAUAUGAACCGUUAUAACCGGCGAUUUCCGAAUGGGGAAACCCAGUGUGUUUCGACACACUAUCAUUAACUGAAUCCAUAGGUUAAUGAGGCGAACCGGGGGAACUGAAACAUCUAAGUACCCCGAGGAAAAGAAAUCAACCGAGAUUCCCCCAGUAGCGGCGAGCGAACGGGGAGCAGCCCAGAGCCUGAAUCAGUGUGUGUGUUAGUGGAAGCGUCUGGAAAGGCGCGCGAUACAGGGUGACAGCCCCGUACACAAAAAUGCACAUGCUGUGAGCUCGAUGAGUAGGGCGGGACACGUGGUAUCCUGUCUGAAUAUGGGGGGACCAUCCUCCAAGGCUAAAUACUCCUGACUGACCGAUAGUGAACCAGUACCGUGAGGGAAAGGCGAAAAGAACCCCGGCGAGGGGAGUGAAAAAGAACCUGAAACCGUGUACGUACAAGCAGUGGGAGCACGCUUAGGCGUGUGACUGCGUACCUUUUGUAUAAUGGGUCAGCGACUUAUAUUCUGUAGCAAGGUUAACCGAAUAGGGGAGCCGAAGGGAAACCGAGUCUUAACUGGGCGUUAAGUUGCAGGGUAUAGACCCGAAACCCGGUGAUCUAGCCAUGGGCAGGUUGAAGGUUGGGUAACACUAACUGGAGGACCGAACCGACUAAUGUUGAAAAAUUAGCGGAUGACUUGUGGCUGGGGGUGAAAGGCCAAUCAAACCGGGAGAUAGCUGGUUCUCCCCGAAAGCUAUUUAGGUAGCGCCUCGUGAAUUCAUCUCCGGGGGUAGAGCACUGUUUCGGCAAGGGGGUCAUCCCGACUUACCAACCCGAUGCAAACUGCGAAUACCGGAGAAUGUUAUCACGGGAGACACACGGCGGGUGCUAACGUCCGUCGUGAAGAGGGAAACAACCCAGACCGCCAGCUAAGGUCCCAAAGUCAUGGUUAAGUGGGAAACGAUGUGGGAAGGCCCAGACAGCCAGGAUGUUGGCUUAGAAGCAGCCAUCAUUUAAAGAAAGCGUAAUAGCUCACUGGUCGAGUCGGCCUGCGCGGAAGAUGUAACGGGGCUAAACCAUGCACCGAAGCUGCGGCAGCGACGCUUAUGCGUUGUUGGGUAGGGGAGCGUUCUGUAAGCCUGUGAAGGUGUGCUGUGAGGCAUGCUGGAGGUAUCAGAAGUGCGAAUGCUGACAUAAGUAACGAUAAAGCGGGUGAAAAGCCCGCUCGCCGGAAGACCAAGGGUUCCUGUCCAACGUUAAUCGGGGCAGGGUGAGUCGACCCCUAAGGCGAGGCCGAAAGGCGUAGUCGAUGGGAAACAGGUUAAUAUUCCUGUACUUGGUGUUACUGCGAAGGGGGGACGGAGAAGGCUAUGUUGGCCGGGCGACGGUUGUCCCGGUUUAAGCGUGUAGGCUGGUUUUCCAGGCAAAUCCGGAAAAUCAAGGCUGAGGCGUGAUGACGAGGCACUACGGUGCUGAAGCAACAAAUGCCCUGCUUCCAGGAAAAGCCUCUAAGCAUCAGGUAACAUCAAAUCGUACCCCAAACCGACACAGGUGGUCAGGUAGAGAAUACCAAGGCGCUUGAGAGAACUCGGGUGAAGGAACUAGGCAAAAUGGUGCCGUAACUUCGGGAGAAGGCACGCUGAUAUGUAGGUGAAGUCCCUCGCGGAUGGAGCUGAAAUCAGUCGAAGAUACCAGCUGGCUGCAACUGUUUAUUAAAAACACAGCACUGUGCAAACACGAAAGUGGACGUAUACGGUGUGACGCCUGCCCGGUGCCGGAAGGUUAAUUGAUGGGGUUAGCGCAAGCGAAGCUCUUGAUCGAAGCCCCGGUAAACGGCGGCCGUAACUAUAACGGUCCUAAGGUAGCGAAAUUCCUUGUCGGGUAAGUUCCGACCUGCACGAAUGGCGUAAUGAUGGCCAGGCUGUCUCCACCCGAGACUCAGUGAAAUUGAACUCGCUGUGAAGAUGCAGUGUACCCGCGGCAAGACGGAAAGACCCCGUGAACCUUUACUAUAGCUUGACACUGAACAUUGAGCCUUGAUGUGUAGGAUAGGUGGGAGGCUUUGAAGUGUGGACGCCAGUCUGCAUGGAGCCGACCUUGAAAUACCACCCUUUAAUGUUUGAUGUUCUAACGUUGACCCGUGAUCCGGGUUGCGGACAGUGUCUGGUGGGUAGUUUGACUGGGGCGGUCUCCUCCUAAAGAGUAACGGAGGAGCACGAAGGUUGGCUAAUCCUGGUCGGACAUCAGGAGGUUAGUGCAAUGGCAUAAGCCAGCUUGACUGCGAGCGUGACGGCGCGAGCAGGUGCGAAAGCAGGUCAUAGUGAUCCGGUGGUUCUGAAUGGAAGGGCCAUCGCUCAACGGAUAAAAGGUACUCCGGGGAUAACAGGCUGAUACCGCCCAAGAGUUCAUAUCGACGGCGGUGUUUGGCACCUCGAUGUCGGCUCAUCACAUCCUGGGGCUGAAGUAGGUCCCAAGGGUAUGGCUGUUCGCCAUUUAAAGUGGUACGCGAGCUGGGUUUAGAACGUCGUGAGACAGUUCGGUCCCUAUCUGCCGUGGGCGCUGGAGAACUGAGGGGGGCUGCUCCUAGUACGAGAGGACCGGAGUGGACGCAUCACUGGUGUUCGGGUUGUCAUGCCAAUGGCACUGCCCGGUAGCUAAAUGCGGAAGAGAUAAGUGCUGAAAGCAUCUAAGCACGAAACUUGCCCCGAGAUGAGUUCUCCCUGACCCUUUAAGGGUCCUGAAGGAACGUUGAAGACGACGACGUUGAUAGGCCGGGUGUGUAAGCGCAGCGAUGCGUUGAGCUAACCGGUACUAAUGAACCGUGAGGCUUAACCUU
rnacentral:rRNA from 1 species